UACGUAGGUGGCAAGCGUUGUCCGGAUUUACUGGGCGUAAAGAGUAUGUAGGCGGACAUUUAAGUAGAAAGUGAAAGGUUGGAGCUUAACUCCAACACUGCUUCCUAUACUGGGUGUCUUGAGUGCCGGAGAGGAAAGCGGAACGACACGUGUAGCGGUGAAAUGCGUAGAUAUCAGGAAGAACAUCGGUGGCGAAGGCGCUCUGCUGGACCAUAACUGACACUCAGGGACGAAAGCUAGGGGAGCGAAUGGG
rnacentral:rRNA from 1 species